AAGUCAAUGUCUUACAAACUGCUACAUUAAAAAAAUGCGGGAUUUUUCAGCUUCGGUUAUUCAUUUAAGAUCACGAUAUUUAACCAUAAAUGCGCGGGUAACUCUAAAUAAGACUGUUCAAUUAGGAACGUCAACGUCUAAUCUUUUUGUUGCUUUUUUUCACAAGCAAGGUUUAUUGGAGAAACACAGGCUGAUUUAUAUUCCUUAUUCGAUUUAAUUUUGUUCUAUUGAUUUUGUACCGUAUGUUGUCAAAACCAUAAGGAGACCAGUAUCAAGACAAUUUAAAUAAACAUCUCGUUGAGUUUGAACUUUUACCUAUUGCAGAGCUCAAAAUAAUGAUUUGGUGCUGACGAGACUCAAGACAGUUCCCGAAUUAAACCGCGUCUCAUUCGUCGAGAAACCCAAAAAAGAAAAACUUCCUAAAUUUGCAAAACUAACUCGGUCAAAAACUGCGAAUGAAUCUGACCUGCAAUUAAAUCUAUACGACAAAAAAAUGCUUGAUGAUGUUUCGGAUACGCAAGAAAACGAAUCAUUCCGAGCGCAAAAUUUUCCUGCUAGAAAAAGCAAAAAUGUAGGAAUAGUUCGCGGAGCAGGAAUACAUACACUAAACAUCGGAAAUACCGCAAGCAAUCUAGAGUCGAAGCAUGAAGAAUUACCUCGAUUAACAAGCUCAGAUAUGCCAAAAGUUCUGAGGUCCAGACCCCAUAAAAAAGAAAAUCCGUUACCUUCUAUUCAACCUGUCAAACUUGUCACACUGAAAACGAACAACACAAUGAGAGAAUCAUUCACUCAGACCAACUCAGUUCAAUUAUUGGAUCUCUCUGGCAGAAGCCAGGCAAAAUCCCUCAGGCAAAUCAACCAGAAGUAUCUUCCCCACAUUCUCGCAUCAGACCAGCCUAUAUCUCCAAAUCGAAUUCAACCUUCAGUGGGCAUGAGUAAAAUGCAGAAAGCGCACAUGGUGAAGCUAAUGCGAGAACUCACUUACUGACAAACGUCUUAAAUCUUCAUUCUCGUUGAUCUCGCGAAAUAUUUUUUA